rnacentral:snRNA from 1 species
GAGGCGUUAGGGUGGCGGCGGUA